rnacentral:rRNA from 1 species
AGUAACGCGUGGAUAACCUGCCUCACACAGGGGGAUAACAGUUAGAAAUGACUGCUAAUACCGCAUAAGCGCACGGCAUCGCAUGAUGCAGUGUGAAAAACUCCGGUGGUGUGGGAUGGAUCCGCGUCUGAUUAGGUAGUUGGUGGGGUAACGGCCCACCAAGCCGACGAUCAGUAGCCGACCUGAGAGGGUGACCGGCCACAUUGGGACUGAGACACGGCCCAA